rnacentral:lncRNA from 1 species
GGCAGCUAGGCCGAAACGCCUGUAUUUAAAGGGAUAGUAACUCGGACUCGUUCUGCAAUAUCCCCACAAGGGCCUGACUGAGCGAGCGAGCAUGGACGGCCGCGGGGCUUUCUGGACAGUGGCCAUUCCCAGAGCCAGGCAGGAAGGCCUCGGGAGGCUGGGGCUCCCGUUCCCGGUGAAGCGGACGCCGCCAGCGCCCCAGAACCCAGGAGGAAGCACACAGGCCCCACAGAGAGUGGUUGGCAAGAGUCACUCGGGGAUUAGGAUGCCGGCCAAAUCGCGGAAUUUGAGGCUGGAAUCCAAGCUCAACAGGACUGCUGUGUGUGAAGCACUCAAGAGGGCCCCUACAACCAACCUGCCAGGAGUCGGCUCCUGAAAACAGGGUCGGAAAAGGGGUCUGGCACUCUUCCUCAUGCUUACGAGAUGGCUGCUGGAAUUCCAGGAAUCACAUGCAAAUUCUAGUCAGGAGCAAAGAGGAAGAGACACAGUGAAAAGGGGUAUACAGCGGCAGAAGGAAGCUCCUCAAAUGAACUCUGCUAGAACUCUAGCCAGUAGCUUCUCCUUCUAUCACAGUGGCCAGAACUGUGACAAGUGACCAUCCUUAGGGGAAAAAAGAUGCUGAGAAAUGUGAAUUUUGUUGCCACCUUACAUUUUCAAAGGAGUUCCAUUCGUAAGUACAGAACGCUCAGAGAAGAGGCAGCAGAUCUAGGAUAUGGAGCAGCAGCUCUUAAGGGCACAGUGGGAAGGUUUCAAGACUGAGGAGGAUCUUGGAUUUGGGUAGGGGAAGGCAGUUCACAGUAUUGUGGAGGAAAUGCUGUGAAAGAGAAAGUGGAAGGCAUGGAAGCUUAAACUUUUAAUAUGACUGGUGAAUACAAGGAUGAAGGGCAAAGGGAAUUCAGACUCAUGGUGGUCAGAUUAAGACCUUCAGCGGCUCUGUCUCCCAGCCCCACAUACCCACUUCCAUGUUCUGCUCUUUACUGAAGCUGAAAGUCUGCAACCUUCAUUCUCUGACUCCCUUACAUUUUCUUAGGCUUCUUGCUAGCUUCUGCCAAAAAGAGGCCCUGGCAGGAGAUUAGAUGGCAGGAGGCAGAGGUAAGGAUUCCAUGUUAACAGGUGCUGGAAGUUGCUGGUGUGGCAAUGAGAACUGGGCCCCGGUCAAGGCAGCACUACUUUGGUAGAUCCAGAAUCAACCAUGAUAACCGUGACAGUGUCUUCAACAGUGCAGCAGUAGACACAGGCCCCUGGUGCUGGAAUCCAAUACAGGGACAGGAGCAGCACGGAGUCACGGAACACCGUCUUGCCUUCAUGUCACUUUACCAUUUCUUCUUUCUCCCUCUUACUCUACCAGCUACCUGUGGAGAUGUUGAACCUUUUAUCUGUCGCUGUCUGCUUAGGAACAGAAGAAAAGGCAGCUGAUUGCUUGACUCAGCUUUCAGCUUGAUUUUUUUCCUUUGGCAGAGUGAAUUGGGGUCCCAGGUGUUCAUUUUCCUUUUGUAGUACCUUUCCUCAGCAUGCAAUUAAUACAAAAAGAACAAUAAACCUUAACAAAGUUUGGCUUGUAUUAAAAAAAAAAAAAAAAAAAAA